rnacentral:ncRNA from 1 species
CUUAUAAAGAUUGCUUUUAUAGAAUUAAAAUUUGAUUAUGGUUUAAAAAAAGUUAAAAUGAUAUUAUUUAAGUUUAAUUUAUUUAGUGGGCAAUAAAAUUUUACCCCGGCAAUAAGUUAUUUGUAUAAUACUUGUUCCAGAAUAAUCGGCUAGGCUUGUAAAAUUUAUACUUUAUUUUGUUUUAAUUGUAAGCAUAAAAUUAAUUUUUUUAAUAAUCUUAGGUUAAAUUUUGAUUAUUGUAAGACUUAGUUUACAAUUUUAAGAUUUGAAAAUCGAAUUAGAUUAGUACCUAAUUAGUCAAAAAUUAAAAGAGCAGAAGUAAAGUUAAGUUUAAACUGAAAGAAUAUUGGCAGAUUUUCUAAAUUAUCUUUGGAGGUUGAGUAAUAAUUGAGAACCCUCAUUAACUACUUUUUAAUUUGGUCUCAUGUAUGAUCGUUUAUUUUAUGCUUAAGGUAUAUAAUAAAAAAUUUUAUUUAUAAAAAUAGAUAUAUAUUUGGUUUAUAAGAAAGUAAAAUUUGACCUACAAUAAGUUAGCUUGUGGAUUUGUAAUUUAGUAGUUAUAAUGAAAAUGUAAAAGACAGUAAAAGGAUUUUUAUGUUCUUUUGAAGAUUAUUUAGAUGUGGUACAAAUCAUCCAUCAAUUGCCUAUAGGGGAGUAAGUUGUAGUAAAGUAGAUUUAGGGGAACCUUAAUCUAGUAAUU